rnacentral:piRNA from 1 species
GCCAGACCAACUUCCAAAUCAUGGUGCACAA